rnacentral:lncRNA from 1 species
GUAGACGACUCCGGCCUCCGACAGGGCAGACAUGCGCAUGGCGUUGCGCAUGUAGUCGGUGAAGAUGUAGAAGGUGGCGCAGUAGGGGAUCAGGCCCGACUUGUGCAGGGCAAUGCCGUUGCAGAUGGCGCCCAUGGCGUGCUCACGCACACCGAAGCGCAGGUUGCGCUCGGCAUAGCUGCCCUUCUGGAAGUCGCCAGAGAUCUUCAUCAGGGUCAGGUUGGAGGGGGCCAGGUCGGCCGAGCCACCGAUCAGGCCGGGCAGCGCGGGCGCCAGGGCGUUGAUCAUGGUCUGGCUGUGCUGGCGGGUGGCCAGGCCCUUGUCCUCGGGCUUGAAGUGGGGCAGAGCAGCCUCCCAGUUCUCGGGCAGCUGCGG